rnacentral:rRNA from 1 species
AUUGAACGCUAGCGGGAUGCUUUACACAUGCAAGUCGAACGGCAGCGCGGACUUCGGUCUGGCGGCGAGUGGCGAACGGGUGAGUAAUGUAUCGGAACGUGCCCAGUAGCGGGGGAUAACUACGCGAAAGCGUAGCUAAUACCGCAUACGCCCUACGGGGGAAAGCAGGGGAUCGUAAGACCUUGCACUAUUGGAGCGGCCAAUAUCGGAUUAGCUAGUUGGUGAGGUAACGGCUCACCAAGGCGACGAUCCGUAGCUGGUUUGAGAGGACGACCAGCCACACUGGGACUGAGACACGGCCCAGACUCCUACGGGAGGCAGCAGUGGGGAAUUUUGGACAAUGGGGGCAACCCUGAUCCAGCCAUCCCGCGUGUGCGAUGAAGGCCUUCGGGUUGUAAAGCACUUUUGGCAGGAAAGAAACGUCGCGGGCUAAUACCCCGUGGAACUGACGGUACCUGCAGAAUAAGCACCGGCUAACUACGUG